CCUACGGGAGGCAGCAGUGGGGAAUAUUGGACAAUGGGGGGAACCCUGAUCCAGCCAUGCCGCGUGUGUGAAGAAGGCCCUCGGGUUGUAAAGCACUUUCAGUGAGGAAGAACGCCUGGUGGUUAAUACCCAUCAGGAAAGACAUCACUCACAGAAGAAGCACCGGCUAACUCCGUGCCAGCAGCCGCGGUAAUACGGAGGGUGCGAGCGUUAAUCGGAAUUACUGGGCGUAAAGCGCGCGUAGGUGGCUUGAUAAGCCGGUUGUGAAAGCCCCGGGCUCAACCUGGGAACGGCAUCCGGUACUGUCAAGCUAGAGUGUAGGAGAGGAAGGUAGAAUUCCCGGUGUAGCGGUGAAAUGCGUAGAGAUCGGGAGGAAUACCAGUGGCGAAGGCGGCCUUCUGGGCUGACACUGACACUGAGGUGCGAAAGCGUGGGUAGCAAACAGGAUUAGAUACCCCGGUAGUC
rnacentral:rRNA from 1 species